ACGAACGCUGGCGGCAUGCCUAACACAUGCAAGUCGAACGAAGGCUUCGGCCUUAGUGGCGCACGGGUGCGUAACGCGUGGGAACCUGCCCUUCGGUUCGGAAUAACAGUUAGAAAUGACUGCUAAUACCGGAUGAUGACUUCGGUCCAAAGAUUUAUCGCCGAGGGAUGGGCCCGCGUAGGAUUAGCUUGUUGGUGGGGUAAUGGCCUACCAAGGCGACGAUCCUUAGCUGGUCUGAGAGGAUGAUCAGCCACACUGGGACUGAGACACGGCCCAGACUCCUACGGGAGGCAGCAGUGGGGAAUAUUGGACAAUGGGCGAAAGCCUGAUCCAGCAAUGCCGCGUGAGUGAUGAAGGCCUUAGGGUUGUAAAGCUCUUUUACCAGGGAUGAUAAUGACAGUACCUGGAGAAUAAGCUCCGGCUAACUCCGU
rnacentral:rRNA from 1 species